GUUAUCUCACCGUUUGAAAGACAUGAGAGACAAAACCACCUCCAUGAAACAGGAAAAAACUAGGGCUAAAAAUCAACUACAAGAAGACAAAAAUUAUGAAAGUAAAGACCAGAAAAGGAGGGACAGUGUCAAUUGAAGGGGAAGAUAUUGAAGAAGUAGAUCAGUUUACUUAUUUAGGAAGCAUCAUGGAAAGAACUGGUGGGACAGAUGCAGACAUCAGGAC
rnacentral:lncRNA from 1 species